rnacentral:rRNA from 1 species
UGAUCAGCCACACUGGAACUGAGACACGGUCCAGACUCCUACGGGAGGCAGCAGUGGGGAAUAUUGGACAAUGGGGGCAACCCUGAUCCAGCCAUGCCGCGUGUGUGAAGAAGGCCUUCGGGUUGUAAAGCACUUUUGUUGGGGAAGAAACCGGCCGGGUUAAUACCCUGGUUGAAUGACGGUACCCAAAGAAUAAGCACCGGCUAACUUCGUGCCAGCAGCCGCGGUAAUACGAAGGGUGCAAGCGUUACUCGGAAUUACUGGGCGUAAAGCGUGCGUAGGCGGUUUGUUAAGUCUGCUGUGAAAGCCCUGGGCUCAACCUGGGAACUGCAGUGGAUACUGGCGAGCUAGAGUGUGUCAGAGGAUGGUGGAAUUCCCGGUGUAGCGGUGAAAUGCGUAGAGAUCGGGAGGAACACCAGUGGCGAAGGCGGCCAUCUGGGACAACACUGACGCUGAGGCACGAAAGCGUGGGGAGCAAACAGGAUUAGAUACCCUGGUAGUCCACGCCCUAAACGAUGCGAACUGGACGUUGGGCACACUUAGGUGCUCAGUGUCGAAGCUAACGCGUUAAGUUCGCCGCCUGGGGAGUACGGUCGCAAGACUGAAACUCAAAGGAAUUGACGGGGCCCGCACAAGCGGUGGAGUAUGUGGUUUAAUUCGAUGCAACGCGAAGAACCUUACCUGGCC